UUAAUAACUACAAAAAAAUGUAACGGGGAUAACUGAGUACACACAGUAUCAGAUUGGAAGAUCCAAAAAUCAUACAAUAUUACACAGUGUAACUGGCUUAAUAAUUUUAUUAGAAAAUAUAUUUGGUUUAAUGAUUGGUGGUUUUUAUUAGGUUUCUUUUUAUAGACAGGUUUCAACAGUAAUAGCAGUCCUUGAAGGACACUUACUUACAUUCGAGUUCUGUUUGAAUUUGUUUGUGUAGAUGGCAGAAAAGCUGUACGCUGACAGGCCUCAGUUGAAUGUGGAGGCUGAAGAGCCGGAUGAUACAGUGGAUGCAAGGCCAGACAGAAGUGAGAGAUUGUUCAUCUUUGGAAAAUCUGGUGGUAUUUCUUGUGCACCCAGUGAAGUGAAGCAUGAUUCAGUAGCAGACAG